UUAAUCCCAGCACUAGAGAGGUAUAAAAGGAAGAAGCAAAGGACCUCGUGUGACAUUUAUUCUCCAGCCACACUGAGAAUAGGACAGCCCUUUCAGCCUGAGGUAGAGGUAAGAGUUAGUGGCCAGCUUCUUCACUUAUCUGUCCAUCAGCUUAAACCCCAAUAUCUGCCUCUGGGUUUUUAUUAUUUGUGUUACAGAUGGGUCCUGAGGUGGGGUGGGGAGCAGGGCCUGGCCAAACAGCUCUCGGGAGAAGCACUCCCCCACCUAUGAGAAGCUGCUAUUCUUGGCACCUUCUGGGUUUUGUCCCUGGAAAUGGACCUACAAAUUUCAGAUGACUUUAGAAUCAUUUCCAAAACAGCAUUAGGAGCUGGGAGACAUGGCUCAGAGAGUAACAUGCUUGCCAGCAGAAACAUAAGGACCCACAUCCAAAAUCCACUGAAAAAGCCCAGCAUUGUAGUAUACACCAGUGCCGGGAGGUGAUGACAGGUGGGCCUCUAGGAGCUUGGUGGCCAACCAGAAUGCCAAAUGAGGAAGCCCCAGGCCAGUGGGAAAUCCUAUCCCAAAACCCAAACAAACGAACAAAAAACCAAUAGCAACAACAAAAGACUGGGCGGCUGGAGAGAUGGCUUGUCAGAUAUUCUUCCAGAGGACCUGAGUUUUGUCCUCAACAUCACGCAGCUCACAAGAGGGUGUCAAAAUCUGACACCCUCUUCUGGCCUCUGAGGGCACCCACACAUGUGGCAUACAGACACACACACAUACACACACACACACACACACACACACACAGUAAAAAAUAAUAAUUUUUAAAGGUAGGAGGCUGAUAAGAUGGCUCAGUGGUAAAGGUGAUUUCUGCCAAGCCUAAAAACCUGAAUUUAAUCCCCAAGAUAUACAUGGUGGAAAGAAAAAAAAAAAAAAAAAAAAGACUGGUACCCAGCAGUUGUCCUCUGAGCUUCACCUGUUUAAAACCAAAUAUAUGUGUGGCAAGGCCUGGGGCCAGCGUCUUGGAGUAGGUUCAGUUUCAAGAUCUUGAGAACUCAACUGUCCCCCCUCCCUGAAGGUCUAUGGCUACUGAGCUCGUAGUCUGUGACACAUGAGCUAUGCUGUGUUCCCUUUGUGUACCAUUACUUGAUUAGCUUCCCACUGACUUUAUCCCAUUGUGUGACAGUUUUCUGCUGACUCUGUCCUAUUUCCCCUUGUAUAUAAGAUUCUGUCCUUCUUAAUAAACUUGUUUGACAUAACACAUAGCUUGUGCAAGACCUCCUGACCCCACUUUCCUAACUACUUUUACUUCUGAUCUGCUUGCUGGUCCUUCCUUUCAGAAGGUCAUAACCCAAUCUGGAUUACUCCCACAGGCAUGCCUGGGGCUAACCUAAUCUGGAUUACCCCCAUAAAACAAGCUGUACAAAAAAUCCCAUUGUAAACUAUUAUUAUUAUUGGUGUUAUUAUUAUCAUUGAACACAUAUGUGCCACAGUGUCCUUGUGGGGGUCUGCAGAGUUGGCUGUCUCCUUCCAUUUGCACAUGGGUUCUGGGGUUUAAACUCUGCUCCUUAAACUCUGAAGUGCUUUUCUUGUGGAGCCACUUGCCUGCCUGACCUUGAAUUUCUGAUACUGGGGGUUGGAUUUAGGGUUUCGUGAUGAUUAAUCUCAGAGGCUCGCCAGAGGUAAAGGUGUCCUAAAAGGACAAGCUUACUAGGGACCGUCUCCCAUGGUGGGUUGCACCUUCAGGUAACAGAUAUGGAUGUCUAAGGAUGGAAACUUUUGCUUUUUGCAUAAUUGCCUUCACUGCAAUGCUUCUACUCUGUUGUUGCAUUUGCUGCUGCCACCAUCCUCAAUUGACACCAGAACCUAGAUAAUUCAACCUUGAACUCGGUUCCACAAUGAACUAAGUAUCAGUGGCUAUCUAGAAAUCCUCCAGGCCUUCAGUGCCAAAUUGGGACAAGUGAGGCAUCCAGCCUCAUGGACUGAACGGUAACAGGGUUCUCAGACUCUCCAGUGUAAAGACAGUCAUUGUUAGCCUACCCAACCAGAAUCCUAUGAAGCAUUUUUCUUCAUGUAUGUUCAGUUCUCUUCUUUAGAGAACCCUGACUAACACACUAGGCAAGCACUCUACCAACUGAGCUAUUUCUCCAGGCCCUCCCUUUUCCUAGCCGACCCACGGUUCUCCAUUCUGACUCAGCUGGAAAUAGUUCUCUGUGGAGGAAUCAAGAUACAGACAUCACCUGACUGGAAUCUUGCAAAAAGAGCUCAGGCAGCCUGCAUGCAGUGUGGAGCUGCCUCUUUCCGGUGGCCUGAGACCAGCAUUUUCCAGCUUGCAGUCACUCUCCUGGGCUCCAUGAACAGUGACUUCCUAAGUCAGAGAGCUUGAGAGUUCAGUUGAAAAAAUGCUGUCAUCUGUAAAAAUACUUAUUUUGCCUCUGUGUUUCCCAUCGCUUUGACUGGGUGAACCUUUGUUUGCCUAUUGGACACAUUUCUUCACUAAUCCCUCCUGGGCCCCUCUGCUGCCUCCCUGACUGACAUCUUGAUCCUUUCAAGGGAGAAGAGUUUUGUCUGAAGAAAAAUGGUUUCUUCCUUUAUUUUAUUGUUCUGUUAGACUUGGAGAGAUGGCUCUUUGGUUAGGAGCACUAGUAGACAACCUGAGCUAGGUUCCCAGCACCCACACUGGGCUGCCUACAAUCACCUCCAACUCCAGCUCUAGGUAUCCAGUUUCCUCUUCUGGCCUCUGAAGUCACCUGCACUCAUGUAUACCUGCCCACACACACACACACACACACACACACACACACACACACUCACCACACAAAAAAUUAAAAUAAAUCUUUUAAUUUUUGUUAACUUAUUUAUUGAUUUACUUACUUAACAUGCGUGUUCCCGGGGGUGUGCCACUGUGACAUGUGGAAGUCCUAGGACAGUAUGAGGGUCUUGGUUGUGUCUUUCCACUGUAUGGGUCCCAAGGAAUGAACUGAGGUCAUCCGGUUUGGAGGCAGCCACCUCUACCCACCGAGCCAUCUCACCAGCUCCUGCCUUCCUUCAAUUCCAGUACCCAUUGUUGGAUCUUUUUUUUUCUCCUGUGCUUCACCCCUUCCCACUUUAUUUAUUUACUGCUCUGUUGGUGAUCAGAUCUUCUAAAUUGUUUUUUGGUAAGGUUUAUAAUUAUGUUGCUAAUGCUUCCAUUUGUUAGCAGGGAAUGUUUCUUGCUUUUGUCCUCAGAGCCUCUAUUGAAUUGCUUACUUUUACAUCUUGGGUUACAACUUAGGAGCAUUUUUCUGUUGCCAUUGUUUUAACAGCAGUCUGUCUGUUUGGGGGGUGCUUUCUUUUUAAAUCGCUUUAGAAAAUUGAUUCUCCCAUUCAAAUUUAUCUAUAGAGAUCCAUUUACCAUGUUAUAACUAUUUUAUUGAAAUUAUCUCUAUUUCCUAUGGCUGACGUUAAGUAAAAACUUCAGGAGGCUGUUGUUUAGGAGUGGACUGCUACAAUCCCCCCCCCAAAAAAAAUAAAACCAGGAAAAGAUACCAAAACAGGGGCAGAGGAGGUGGUUCCACCAAUAAAAUACUUGUCAUUGGAGCAUGAGAACCUGAGUUUAAUUCCCAGAGCCCAGAUAAACCUUCAUGUGCCGGUGGUGAUCAGCCCCACCUUCAUCAAGAGACAAAUGGUAAAGUCUUGCCCCCCUGUCAAGGCAGAUCUGGGAGGGAAAGAGGGCUCUUAUGGUAUCAUCUAAAACUUCUGCUGUACCAUGUCAGGUAGAAGAAAUGGGGCGGGGUCAUGAGAAGUGCGAAGGAGUUGAUGUCUUUGCCAGCAGUGAAGCAAGAAUCCUAGAACAGUUUACAAUGAAUGUCUUAAGGCAUUUCCCCCAGCCCAACCAUAACUCAACAUUUUUCUAGGAACAUCACCAGAAAACCCCUUUACCGGGAUAGGUCAUGUACUAGACCCUUGUGCAUCCCUAGUGGCUUCUGGUUUUGCCUUCUAAUAUUAUAAGUUCCUUGAAGGCAACUCCAAACCAUCUCACAUAUCUCUGGUUGGUCGUGGGGGUGGGGAGGAUUGUCAUUGGAAACCUUCUGCGAUGUAACUUGAGAGUCACCAAAAGAGUACAUAUGGCUAAGAUAGUUAUUUGUCCUGUCUUGGAGAAACCUGUACCUACCCUUGGGUGUGUCUUACUUUUUCCCACCCUUCCUUGUAAAGAACCCAACCCCCAUCCCACUUGGGUAUGUCUCACUUCUUCUGUGUGUCUCUUGCUCUUAACCCUCAGGCCCAAGUCUGUAUUAAAAAUAUCUAUAAUAAAAUCCACAAGUCUGCUAUAUCAACUGGCUAGUCCUGAAAUUCUUUUUGGUGCAAAAGCCACAAACAUCAUCAGAUUGACUUGAGUUGAGGUCUCUAAAAGUCCAAGAGAAUGCCUCAGGCUGAUAAGGUGUCAAUGUGGAUCUGUGUUUCUGUCCCCUCAUAGUUGACUAGACUUCUAAGUGACUUAAGGUCACUUAAAAGAAUUUCAGCAUGGUUCACUUCUAUUUUGACAUUCUUGUUUUCAAAUGUCUCCGUGUAAAAUGAGUAAGGUCUCUAUGUCAGCAGUCUUCACCAGAAAUCGUAUUUGUGCUGGGAUGUUUUACUCUUAUCUGCCUGAUGUUUCUAUGAAUGUACUUGAAAAUGCCCUGAUUUAUGACUUUCUUUUGUUUUAUAAAUAUAAGAAUGCCAUCAAUCAGUUUCCACAUUGAAACAUGCUACUUUGGGUUACUAGAACCAAUGUCUCUAGGCCAUGAUCACUCAUACUUGGCUCAACAAUAAACACUAAUUCCCUUCUAGGUGAAAGUUCAGUUUUGUAUUGAUAGCCAUAAAUGAUUGGAAGAAUUUUUUUAAUUUUUUUUUCCCCAAGGAUAGGGCCCAAACAAGGUACAGCUGGGGAGAGGUUUGGCAUAGGUUGGCCCAGCAGGGGCUUUUAAACCAGGGCUGUGACUCAAAAAAAGCAAGGGCUACAAUCAGCCUGGGGCUCUGUCUGCCUCACCACACCUGGAGGAAGCCUACCAUACAGCCAGACCUAUAGGCUUUGUGGUGUGUUCAGGAUCCAGGAAAGGGGCUUUGUGGUGUGUGCAGGAUCCAGGAAAAGGACUGAGCUUGACAUUUCAAUCAUAUUUUGUGAAAACCACAAGGGCCCACUGUUUUGGACUAAGCUCACAUUCUAGGCUCCAUCAAAACAGGCUUAUAUUGUGCUUUGAAUGAGAAUGGCCUCCAGAGGUUCAUGAGUUUGGAUACUUGGUCCCUAGUUGAUGGAACCGCUCAGGAAGGAUUAGGAGGUGUGGCCUUGUUGGAGGAUAUGUGUCACUGGAGAUGGGCUGAGAGAUUUCAAAAGCCUCCUCCCAUCCCCAGUGCUCUCUCUGCCUCCCGAUUAUGGUUGAGAUGUGAGUUCUCAGGUGUUGCUCCAGGUGCUUGCUGUUUCCACUCUGCUAUCAUGGAUUCUGUCUGGAACUGUAAACCUAAAAUAUAUGCUUCCUUUUAGAAGUUGUCUUGAUCACAGCAUUCUAUCACAGCAAUAGAAAAAUAACUAUACCAGCCUAGAAAUCAAAAUGAAGUUUAUGUCACCAACUUAACUGGAGAUGUUCAUCUGUUUAUUCACAGAAGCCAGGCCUAAGAGGAAACUAGAAGCCAGGAUUACAGAGAUAACCACAAAGUUUCCCAAAUAGGCCACUUCCAUGCUAAUGAGGCUUCCUCUGCUUAAUCUUUAUGUAGGAAACAUUAACAUAAUUUAAUUUGAAGUUAGCUAAUGCAAUAUUUUUCCCCAAGAUUAAUGUGUGUGUGUGUGUGUGUGUGUGUGUGUGUGUGUGUGUGUACUGGUGAGUGCAGAUGCUCACAGAGGCCUAACAAGGAGCUUAGAUCCCCUGAAGCUGAAGCUAAAGCUAUAGACAGCUGUAGCCACCUGAAGUGUGUGCUGGGAACUAAAAUCAGUCUUCUGCAGGAAUAGUAUGCAUUCAACCACUGAUCUCUCUCUGCAGCAUCAAGUAUUUUAAAGAUUUAUUUUUAUUGUUUGUGUUAUUUGCUUAUUGUUCUGUUUCUCUGCCCAUAAUUUGUAAUGAAAACAGCUUUGAAAUUACCUUUUUGGUCCUCUUGAAAUAGAGGGACAAUAAGAGUCCUUCUGUGUGACAGAUUUUUUUUCAUCUCAGUGAGCAUGACUCAGAGGGCUAGGAUACUGAAUGAGUGGCCAUGGAAGCCACUCCAGACUAGUGCCUUAAGCAACCCCAUCCCCCAAGAACCUAAAUGCUACCCACCCUGACAGACCUACCCUCAUGGUCAGGGACAGGUGCCCAGGCUUCCCUGGGGACAUAGGGAAGUUCAGUCACUAUAGUACUGAAGCAUGUGUCUCUGUGUCUUCUGUGACCCUCUAAUCAAGGGGUGCUCGACCUUCCAAAUGCAGCAACCCUUUAACACAGUUCCUCAUGUUGUGGUGACCCCCCAACCAUAAAAUUAUUUUCAUCGCUCCUUCAGAACUGUGAUUUUGCUACUGUUAUGAAUUGUAAUGUAAAUAUUUUUGGAGCCAGAGGUUUGCCAUACGGUUCACAGCUCACAGGUUGAGGACCACCACACUAAAGCCUUCACAGGGAUGUUCCAGGGCCAUCGGAACAGCUAUGCACAUCAACCCCAGCCCUAGGAAGGGUUCUCUGCCCCAUGCUGCUCUUGAGGAGGCUCUGUCUUGGCCUCAUUAGUUCUGUCAUUUUCCUGGGCUGAGCUCCUUCUGUUCAGCAUAUCUACUUUUGCUGCUCAAAGGUUAGUCCUCCACCAAGGGCCUUCCUGGAGUCCACUCCUGGCCAUUGCUCCCCAGGGUGGGAGAUCUACCAAGCGUGGCUAAAAGGCCUCAGGUGUGGGCUUCUAAUGGAACACUGAGGUGGGCUGGUUUGGGGGGGUAAGAAGUUUAUUUUAAAAAAUAUUAAUGCCAUGAGCAGACAGACACCAACAUGGCGGGUGCUCUGAGUUCAGAUCCCAACACCAUAGAUAACAGGCAGACAGAUAGACAGACAACAGCAUGGUGGGUGCUCUGAGUUCAGGCCCCAACACUAUAGAUAACAGACAGUAUGGCCGAUGCUCUGAGGAGAGUUUAAGACCAUGAAUGAGGCAGAAUGGUUUCUCUUUUUAUAGAAGCAAAGGAAGGAAAUAGGUUCACAGCACAAGCUUUCAGUCACACUGUCUCUGGUUCCCAGCAGGUACCAAGGGGGGCAUGGGAAAAUAAUUCCAGGGGAGAAAUGUUGGAAGAAGCACUUCCAGUUGAGGUGUACUGCAUAAUGUGUGUGCCACUACUGGUAGCCCUUUGAGGUCCCUGAGUCUAGCAGUCACACUUUGGAAAUGGGGAGCCACAGGUGAGUCUGUUAGGUAGCUAUGAAUUAAUAGGCAUGGUGUGGGAUAAUGUUCUUGUUCACUCUAAAGAUUUGUCACUCAUAUUGGCUUUCAUCAGGGUGCUAGUCAGUGGCUGUGAGGCAAAAGGGGGGGGUCCUGCUGCAAUUGGGCCCCAACGUCUCCUCAUCACCUUGAUUCUGAAAGUCACAAGUCCUAGCCUUGUCUGUCAGCACUAGAGUCAUGGCAGGGAAGAUAUCAUAGCUAAGAUAUACACACACACCCACAGAGGCGAGGGGAGAUGCACACACACCCAGGCACACACACGCAUGCACACACACACACACACACACAGAGAGAGAGAGAGAGAGAGAGAGAGAGAGAGAGAGAGAGAGGCACACACAUAUAGAGGCAAGUGGGCAUAUUUCCCUUACGACACAUAUCAUUCUGUUACUGAGAAUUUGGGGGGUCUCACUAGAGUUGUUACAUGUGACUAUGGAAAUUAGGGUUCCCUCUUAGGAAAAACCUCAGGGCAAGCAAAUUAGAAAUCUCAACAGCUGCCUGGAGGAGAAUGGAGAAGAAAAGGGGUCAUGUUGUUUGAGUUAAGCAGGCACGGCCAGCCGUCAGCCACAUUGUGAGCAUACCCCCACUGGUGAAGAACUUUAGAGAGAAUGAGAAAGCCCAAAGCACCAGAGAAAGCUUGCUUAGGCUCUGGCCAACAUCUGAAAGAAAGACAGAAAAAAGAAAAAGAGAAAGUAGGGCCUCAGGUGGGCCGAGCCAACAUGGUAGAUGUGGAGUGGCAGCGCUAGGGAUGGGAAUUCUGGGAAGGAAAAGUGCAUAUCUCAUCAAAGGGCUAUUUACUCCUCCUACCUCUUUAGCUUGGCUUAAGGUGAGCCUUCCUAGGGGUGGUCCCACUUCCCUCAAGGGUGGUCCCUUGGCCUGGUCAUUGACCUUGACUGAAUGGAAUGCUAAGUCUCUCCCCAGGCCAGAGAUUCCAUACUCUUGAGCCUUAUUGCUGCUGUAAUAAUUCUGUCUGUACAUCAACCCCUCCAAAAAGACUGAAUUCCAGACUCACUCCCCACCCUUCCCGUGGAUGGGCCCCAGCUUGUCAGGUCAGAGUGAAAUGUUCCCCAGGUGAGCAGCUUGUGGCCAACUGCCUUUUCUGCUCACUCAGACACAAUAUCUGGGAUUUGGAUAACGAGAGAAACGGGAAAGGAGUGCAAGGGCAAGUUCCCAUGCAGGAGGGGCUGGACAUAGAGAGGACCUGUGCUUCCAGCCAGGCAAUGUUGCCCUUGGAGGAGGAAGGGUGACCUCUUAUUCUCAGGGCUCCCCAGCUGGGCUCAGGAAACAUCCUCACAGUGGGUGGCCUGACCCCACAGAUACUAGACUGACCAGAGACUUCCAAUUCCUCCCUCCCAGGCAGCUGCUUCUCCUCCCAGCUUCUCAGGAAGGGAAGAUAGCAAGGGGGCUGGUGUGCCCAGAGAGGCAGGCCAGGCCUAUCACUGCAGAGCUCUCCUUUCCUUCCUUCCUUCCUUCCUUCCUUCCUUCCUUCCAUCUUUCUUCCUUCCUUCCUCCCUCCCUCCCUCCCUCCCUUCCUUCCUUUCUUUCUUUCUCAGUAUCUUUCUGCCUGUCUUCCUUCCUGCCUGCCUUUAUUUCUUCCUUUCUUCAUUCUUUCUUUUUUCCUGUCUUUCUCUCUCACUCUCUUUCUGUUUACUAUCUCCGUGUGUACAGUGUAGGCAUGUGUAUUAUGUAUGUGAAACUGUGGUGGUUACAGGUUUGACACUGGAUGUCUGCCUCCUUAUUUUAAUUUUUAACUUUAAAAAAUUACAUGUAUUUACUUAUUUGUUAGGAGUGUAGGAAGGGGAGGGGCACAUAGAAGAGGACAGCUUGCAGGAGUCAACUCCCUCCUUUUGCCCACACACAUAGUCCCAGGGUGUAGACCUCAGACUUGGUGGCAAGAACUACUUCUUCCUCAAUAGGCAGCCUAUUCCCCUACCAUCCCUCUAAAAGGCCAAGGGAGGGACCAUGGGCAUUAUCCACAGGGAACUUUGGGGACCCAACAGUCUGAAUGAAGUUCACAAUGUUCUCUUCCAGCUUGAUCUUCUCCCUGGUGCACGUGACUGUCCUUUCUUCUGUUAUCCAUUCAGACAUUCACUGCUAUUUUCCCUGACCUUGAACCAUUUCAGACGCUGGGCACACAGAGCCUCCAUCCUCAGCAGUGUGUACUGUGGAUGACAAAAGCAAAAAGAGCAAGUGCACAAAUGUGUAUCAGCUGCUUUCUUUGAGCUAGAAAGAAUGAAAGGGAAUUGCAGAUUGGAGACCUGAUCAGAGGCUGUGAGCGAGGGCUAAGAGCCUUGCAAUCUCAAGUGGCCCUGCAGAGAAGUUUAAGAUAUCUGGGAAAGGCCACAGCAGAGAAGCCACCAGUGCAAAGGCCACAGGACAGGGGGGUUGUUUCAGAUGUUCUAGAAAGGAAAGUCAGGCCCCAUGUACUCUUAUACAAGGGUGCAUGACACACUAACAGACACUAUAAGUGGAUCUACUCACACUCACACACACUGAUGCUCAUGGGUACCUGCAUCCUCACCCCUGCAUUCCCACAGACACGAACUCAUUCUGAUACCCAUGUGUACUCUCCUGCACCCAUACACUCACCCAUGCACUGACACCAGCAUGUGUUCACCCUCACACUCACAGGCACUCAUAUACACCAACACACCUGCCCAUGCUCGCACCCUUCCUUAACACUUUCAGUCUGGUAUGUGCAUAUACAAACCCACUCAAACUACUGAGCUCUGGCUGUGCCAGCAGGACCACCAAAGGUCACAGUGUGGGAGAGGCGAAGGUGUGGACCACUGCUCUACCUUCAGUCCCCUCCCCAAGCCUGCUCCAGACUGGUGUUGAAGAAUGGCUGCCUGGGGACUUCUCCUGGCAGAGAGGGUGCCCUGAGGAAGCUCCACACUGCCAGGGGCCCAGAGAAAUGGAAAGCAUGGCUGAGAGGGCUACAGGUCAGGCCUGCUCACAGGUCAUGCCUGCAUUCCUCUAUACGCUGGCCCUGCACAGCUACGGCAGUCCACUGGUGAGGGGAGCACCACGGAGCUUCCUCACUCGCCUGUGCCCACUGCACUUCUCAGGCAGAGGACGUCGGUACCUGUGACGGCAGAUCUUGAUCAUCAGCUUGAUGGGAUCCGGAGCAGUGGUUCCCAACCCUCCUAAUGCUGCGACCCUUUAAUACAGUUCCUCGUGUUGUGGUGACUGCCAGCCUCACGACUAUUUUCAUUGCUACUUCAUAACUGUAAUUUUGCUACUGUUUUGAACUGUAAUGUAAAUAUCUGUGUUUUCCCGUGGUCUUAGGUGACCCCCGCUCCCUGUGAAACGGUCAAUUGAUCCCUAAAGGGGUCAUGACCUAGGAAUUGAGAACGGCUGAUCUAGAAUCAUCUAGGAAACAAGCCUUGGUUUAACUGAGGCAAGAUGACUUGCCCUGACUGUGGGGCAGCAUCACACCAUGGGAACCCCGGGGGCAUAAAAAUGAAAAAGCAA